rnacentral:rRNA from 1 species
UACAGAGGGUGCGAGCGUUAAUCGGAGUUACUGGGCGUAAAGGGCGCGUAGGCGGUGAGAUGGGUGUGUUGUGAAAGCCCUGGGCUUAACCUGGGAAGUGCAACGCAAACUAUCUGACUGGAGUAUAUGAGAGGGUGGCGGAAUUUCCGGUGUAGCGGUGAAAUGCGUAGAGAUCGGAAGGAACGUCGAUGGCGAAGGCAGCCACCUGGCAUAAUACUGACGCUGAGGCGCGAAAGCGUGGGGAG